rnacentral:lncRNA from 1 species
ACGCAUACCAUUCCCCUGCUGCUGACGGCUGCGGCGUGGAGCAGCAGAGGGGUUAAGAGGCAGCACUGCAAACGACACCCUGUGGGGAGUGAAACUGGAAACACUUAUAUCUGGCUACAGCUUCAAGUUUCUAAUUUCUUCCCUCUUAUACCUGAAGUCAUCUCUUCCAGGUACCAGCAGAACAAGCUUAACAGCUCCCAUCUACUGAGCAAAAUGCUGUGGUUAACUACCCUUCAGUUACGGCAGGAUUUUGCCACUUCUUUUUUUGUCAAAUUUUUCCUGGAAAUGCUGCUUGCUUUGGCUAGUUUCACACAGCUGGAAGUAUAACCACAGAGGCUGAAGAACUUCAUCCUGCUCCAAGAAGAUUUGGCUAGAAAUGAUUGGGCCAGAAUACCUUACAAGAUAUGCCAGCUACCGUGACUGAUGGCAUCUCCAGCUGUGAUACUGGGAGAGUAAUCUCAGGUCCUAACAUCGGUACAACUAUCCUGAAAGCUGUUAAAGCAAUCCAUGUAAGAGAAGACUAAAAGUGUGAAUAAUCUUCGGAAAGCAGAGAAUAGAAGAGCUCUAAGGCGCAGACAGAGGAUUGUAUCCACAUCACUCAGUGGUGCCUGCAUAGUUGGACUUUCAGAUUAGUGCAUUUUACAGCUGGUUACGUCCUGGAAGCGCAGCCCCAGGUACAGAUAUUUCCUAAGACUACCAUUGUAUAGAGUAAGUCCGCCCUGCUGACAAGCCUGCUGGCAGUGUGUUCUCCCACCUCAUUUACCCCAUAGCCCUUGAAAAUUCUGCUCAGAGAUAAUACUGUAAAAUUGAAUAAGCCAGAUAUUUCAAGUGCGAUAUACUUCAGUGUUUGCUGACAGAGCAACUAUUUCACAUCUUGAAUGUAUGACUGAUUCUCUAGUCAUACAAAGUUCCUUAAAUACCAACUGAUGCUUGUUUUUCAAGGCAACAGAAUUUCCCGCAUCUUGCAAAUAUUUCUUCAUCAGAAAGCAUGUAGAGAGAUGUUCUUUGGGUAUGCAGACACCUAACUUGGGGUUUAGCCACAGAAAUCAUGAUAUCUAAGGUAGCUCUAGAAAUUCUUGUUAGAAACAGAGUG